UUGAACGCUGGCGGAAUGCUUUACACAUGCAAGUCGAACGGCAGCACGGGGGCAGCCCUGGUGGCGAGUGGCGAACGGGUGAGUAAUACAUCGGAACGUGCCCGGUCGUGGGGGAUAACGUAGCGAAAGUUACGCUAAUACCGCAUACGAUCUGAGGAUGAAAGCGGGGGACCUUCGGGCCUCGCGCGAUCGGAGCGGCCGAUGUCAGAUUAGGUAGUUGGUGGGGUAAAGGCCUACCAAGCCGACGAUCUGUAGCUGGUCUGAGAGGGCGACCAGCCACACUGGGACUGAGACACGGCCCAGACUCCUACGGGAGGCAGCAGUGGGGAAUUUUGGACAAUGGGCGCAAGCCUGAUCCAGCCAUUCCGCGUGCAGGACGAAGGCCUUCGGGUUGUAAACUGCUUUUGUACGGAACGAAAAGGCUCUGGCUAAUACCUGGGGCUCAUGACGGUACCGUAAGAAUAAGCACCGGCUAACUACGUG
rnacentral:rRNA from 1 species